GCCCGACUGGCUCAAUCGGUAGAGCAUGCGACUUCUAUGGUGUUUCAGACUCCAUCGCAAGGUUGUGGGUUCGAGUCCCACGUUGGGUG